CUCUGAAGAUGAGAUAGUCGGGCUUGAUUGGGAACAAUACAUGGUUUAUGUGCUCGUUCUGGGUAAAUAGAGUUUCUAGCAUUUAUGUUAGUUACUUGUUCCCCGGAUAGUUUAGUUACGUAGCCAAUUGUGGAACUUUCUUGCUAAAAUUUUUAAGAAUACUAUUUGGGUUAAACCAAUUAGUUCUUAUCAAUUAUAACGAUUAUCAAUUAACAAUCAAUUCAGAACUGGCACGGACUUGGGGAAUCCGACUGUCUAAUUAAAACAAAGCAUUGUGAUGGCCCUAGCGGGUGUUGACACAAUGUGAUUUCUGCCCAGUGCUCUGAAUGUCAAAGUGAAGAAAUUCAAGUAAGCGCGGGUCAACGGCGGGAGUAACUAUGACUCUCUUAAGGUAGCCAAAUGCCUCGUCAUCUAAUUAGUGACGCGCAUGAAUGGAUUAACGAGAUUCCUACUGUCCCUAUCUACUAUCUAGCGAAACCACAGCCAAGGGAACGGGCUUGGAAUAAUUAGCGGGGAAAGAAGACCCUUUUGAGCUUGACUCUAAUCUGGCAGUGUAAGGAGACAUAAGAGGUGUAGAAUAAGUGGGAGAUAUUAGACCUCGGUUUGGUAUCGUCAAUGAAAUACCACUACUCUUAUUGUUUCCUUACUUACUUGAUUAAAUGGAACGUGUAUCAUUUCCUAGCCAUUAUACGGAUAUAUUUAUUAUAUCUUAUGGUAUUGGGUUUUGAUGCAAGCUUCUUGAUCAAAGUAUCACGAGUUUGUUAUAUAAUCGCAAACAAAUUCUUUAAUAAAACGAUGCAUUUAUGUAUUUUUGAUUUGAAAAUUUGGUAUAACUCCAAUUACUCAGGUAUGAUCCAAUUCAAGGACAUUGCCAGGUAGGGAGUUUGACUGGGGCGGUACAUCUCUCAAAUAAUAACGGAGGUGUCCCAAGGCCAGCUCAGUGCGGACAGAAACCACACAUAGAGCAAAAGGGCAAAUGCUGACUUGAUCUCGGUGUUCAGUACACACAGGGACAGCAAAAGCUCGGCCUAUCGAUCCUUUUGGUUUAAAGAGUUUUUAACAAGAGGUGUCAGAAAAGUUACCAUAGGGAUAACUGGCUUGUGGCGGCCAAGCGUUCAUAGCGACGUCGCUUUUUGAUCCUUCGAUGUCGGCUCUUCCUAUCAUUGUGAAGCAAAAUUCACCAAGCGUUGGAUUGUUCACCCAUGCAAGGGAACGUGAGCUGGGUUUAGACCGUCGUGAGACAGGUUAGUUUUACCCUACUAAUGACAAAACGUUGUUGCGACAGCAUUCCUGCGUAGUACGAGAGGAACCGCAGGUACGGACCAAUGGCACAAUACUUGUUCGAGCGAACAGUGGUAUGACGCUACGUCCGUUGGAUUAUGCCUGAACGCCUCUAAGGUCGUAUCCGUGCUGGACUGCAAUGAUAAAUAAGGGGCAAUUUGCAUUGU
rnacentral:rRNA from 1 species